rnacentral:rRNA from 1 species
UACGUAGGGUGCAAGCGUUUGUCCGGAAUUAUUGGGCGUAAAGAGCUUGUAGGCGGUUUGUCGCGUCUGCUGUGAAAUUUCGGGGCUCAACCCCGAACUUGCAGUGGGUACGGGCAGACUAGAGUGUGGUAGGGGAGACUGGAAUUCCUGGUGUAGCGGUGAAAUGCGCAGAUAUCAGGAGGAACACCGGUGGCGAAGGCGGGUCUCUGGGCCGAUACUGACGCUGAGGAGCGAAAGCGUGGGGAGCAAACAGG